GACGAACGCUGGCGGCGUGCUUAACGCAUGCAAGUCGAACGGAAAGGCCCUGCUUUUGUGGGGUGCUCGAGUGGCGAACGGGUGAGUAACACGUGAGUAACCUGCCCUUGACUUUGGGAUAACUUCAGGAAACUGGGGCUAAUACCGGAUAGGAGCUCCCGCUGCAUGGUGGGGGUUGGAAAGUUUCGGCGGUUGGGGAUGGACUCGCGGCUUAUCAGCUUGUUGGUGGGGUAGUGGCUUACCAAGGCUUUGACGGGUAGCCGGCCUGAGAGGGUGACCGGCCACAUUGGGACUGAGAUACGGCCCAGACUCCUACGGGAGGCAGUAGUGGGGAAUAUUGCACAAUGGGCGGAAGCCUGAUGCAGCAACGCCGCGGGCGGGAUGACGGACUUCGGGUUGUAAACCGCUUUCGCCUGUGACGAAGCGUGAGUGACGGUAAUGGGUAAAGAAGCACCGGCUAACUACGUG
rnacentral:rRNA from 1 species